UACGGGGGGGGUAAGCGUUGUUCGGAAUUACUGGGCGUAAAGGGCUCCUAGGCGGCCAACUAAGUCAGACGUGAAAUCCCUCAGCUUAACUGGGGAACUGCGUCUGAUACUGGAUGGCUUGGAUUCGGGAGAGGAAUGCGGAAUUCCAGGUGUAGCGGUGAAAUGCGUAGAUAUCUGGAGGAACACCGGUGGCGAAGGCGGCAUUCUGGACCGAUAUUGACGCUGAGGAGCGAAAGCCAGGGGAGCAAACGGG
rnacentral:rRNA from 1 species